CUCCAGACUCCUACGGGAGGCAGCAGUGGGGAAUAUUGCACAAUGGGGGAAACCCUGAUGCAGCGACGCCGCGUGAGUGAAGAAGUAUUUCGGUAUGUAAAGCUCUCUCAGCAGGGAAGAAAAUGACGGUACCUGACUAAGAAGCCCCGGCUAACUACGUGCCAGCAGCCGCGGUAAUACGUAGGGGGCAAGCGUUAUCCGGAUUUACUGGGUGUAAAGGGAGCGUAGACGGCAGUGCAAGUCCGGAGUGAAAGCCCGGGGCUCAACCCUGGGACUGCUCUGGAAACUGUAAAGCUGGAGUGCGGGAGGGGCAGGCGGAAUUCCUGGUGUAGCGGUGAAAUGCGUAGAUAUCAGGAGGAACACCGGCGGCGAAGGCGGCCUGCUGGACCGUAACUGACGUUGAGGCUCGAAAGCGUGGGGAGCAAACAGGAUUAGAUACCCCGGUA
rnacentral:rRNA from 1 species